UACGAAGGGGGCUAGCGUUGUUCGGAAUUACUGGGCGUAAAGCGAACGUAGGCGGUGUUCUAUGUCAGAGGUGAAAGCCUGGGGCUCAACUCCAGAAUUGCCUUUGAAACGGGGACGCUUGAGUCCGAGAGAGGAUGGCGGAAUUCCUAGUGUAGAGGUGAAAUUCGUAGAUAUUAGGAAGAACACCGGUGGCGAAGGCGGCCAUCUGGCUCGGUACUGACGCUCAGGUUCGAAAGCGUGGGGAGCAAACAGG
rnacentral:rRNA from 1 species